GGGUUGUGAGGUUAAGCGACUAAGCGUACACGGUGGAUGCCCUGGCAGUCAGAGGCGAUGAAGGACGUGCUAAUCUGCGAUAAGCGUCGGUAAGGUGAUAUGAACCGUUAUAACCGGCGAUUUCCGAAUGGGGAAACCCAGUGUGAUUCGUCACACUAUCAUUAACUGAAUCCAUAGGUUAAUGAGGCGAACCGGGGGAACUGAAACAUCUAAGUACCCCGAGGAAAAGAAAUCAACCGAGAUUCCCCCAGUAGCGGCGAGCGAACGGGGAGCAGCCCAGAGCCUGAAUCAGUGUGUGUGUUAGUGGAAGCGUCUGGAAAGGCGCGCGAUACAGGGUGACAGCCCCGUACACAAAAAUGCACAUGCUGUGAGCUCGAUGAGUAGGGCGGGACACGUGGUAUCCUGUCUGAAUAUGGGGGGACCAUCCUCCAAGGCUAAAUACUCCUGACUGACCGAUAGUGAACCAGUACCGUGAGGGAAAGGCGAAAAGAACCCCGGCGAGGGGAGUGAAAAAGAACCUGAAACCGUGUACGUACAAGCAGUGGGAGCACAGAGCAAUCUGUGUGACUGCGUACCUUUUGUAUAAUGGGUCAGCGACUUAUAUUCUGUAGCAAGGUUAACCGAAUAGGGGAGCCGAAGGGAAACCGAGUCUUAACUGGGCGUUAAGUUGCAGGGUAUAGACCCGAAACCCGGUGAUCUAGCCAUGGGCAGGUUGAAGGUUGGGUAACACUAACUGGAGGACCGAACCGACUAAUGUUGAAAAAUUAGCGGAUGACUUGUGGCUGGGGGUGAAAGGCCAAUCAAACCGGGAGAUAGCUGGUUCUCCCCGAAAGCUAUUUAGGUAGCGCCUCGUGAAUUCAUCUCCGGGGGUAGAGCACUGUUUCGGCAAGGGGGUCAUCCCGACUUACCAACCCGAUGCAAACUGCGAAUACCGGAGAAUGUUAUCACGGGAGACACACGGCGGGUGCUAACGUCCGUCGUGAAGAGGGAAACAACCCAGACCGCCAGCUAAGGUCCCAAAGUCAUGGUUAAGUGGGAAACGAUGUGGGAAGGCCCAGACAGCCAGGAUGUUGGCUUAGAAGCAGCCAUCAUUUAAAGAAAGCGUAAUAGCUCACUGGUCGAGUCGGCCUGCGCGGAAGAUGUAACGGGGCUAAACCAUGCACCGAAGCUGCGGCAGCGACGCUUAUGCGUUGUUGGGUAGGGGAGCGUUCUGUAAGCCUGUGAAGGUGUACUGUGAGGUAUGCUGGAGGUAUCAGAAGUGCGAAUGCUGACAUAAGUAACGAUAAAGCGGGUGAAAAGCCCGCUCGCCGGAAGACCAAGGGUUCCUGUCCAACGUUAAUCGGGGCAGGGUGAGUCGACCCCUAAGGCGAGGCCGAAAGGCGUAGUCGAUGGGAAACAGGUUAAUAUUCCUGUACUUGGUGUUACUGCGAAGGGGGGACGGAGAAGGCUAUGUUGGCCGGGCGACGGUUGUCCCGGUUUAAGCGUGUAGGCUGGUUUUCCAGGCAAAUCCGGAAAAUCAAGGCUGAGGCGUGAUGACGAGGCACUACGGUGCUGAAGCAACAAAUGCCCUGCUUCCAGGAAAAGCCUCUAAGCAUCAGGUAACAUCAAAUCGUACCCCAAACCGACACAGGUGGUCAGGUAGAGAAUACCAAGGCGCUUGAGAGAACUCGGGUGAAGGAACUAGGCAAAAUGGUGCCGUAACUUCGGGAGAAGGCACGCUGAUAUGUAGGUGAAGCGACUUGCUCGUGGAGCUGAAAUCAGUCGAAGAUACCAGCUGGCUGCAACUGUUUAUUAAAAACACAGCACUGUGCAAACACGAAAGUGGACGUAUACGGUGUGACGCCUGCCCGGUGCCGGAAGGUUAAUUGAUGGGGUCAGCGCAAGCGAAGCUCUUGAUCGAAGCCCCGGUAAACGGCGGCCGUAACUAUAACGGUCCUAAGGUAGCGAAAUUCCUUGUCGGGUAAGUUCCGACCUGCACGAAUGGCGUAAUGAUGGCCAGGCUGUCUCCACCCGAGACUCAGUGAAAUUGAACUCGCUGUGAAGAUGCAGUGUACCCGCGGCAAGACGGAAAGACCCCGUGAACCUUUACUAUAGCUUGACACUGAACAUUGAGCCUUGAUGUGUAGGAUAGGUGGGAGGCUUUGAAGUGUGGACGCCAGUCUGCAUGGAGCCG
rnacentral:rRNA from 1 species